rnacentral:misc_RNA from 1 species
UUGUUUGCUCAUUAAAUAAACAAGCAGCGCAUCUCUUCCCUCCGCCCCAUUGGCUCGCCGGUUAACAUCGCGCCAAAACAUGUCUUCCCCAUCAUGCAAUGAUUCUCACCUCUUUGCUCGACACAUCAACCCUUCCAAAUGGUUUUGCCCACUAACAAAAAGUAACAGGGUCCCAAUAACCUUCCGCUAUCCAAUUGUGGUCUGGGAAGGAAUAAUUGCCAGAUUUUGGUUUUAAAAAGGAAGAAUAAUAAAAAAGGCCCUGCCACCAUCAUUUUCUAAGCAAAAUAUUUGAUCCCUUGCAAGUUUUGGAUGUAGCAGCGCUGUUAAAACAUCAGUUGAUGGCACACAUGGCCGGUCCGAGUUUAUAUCAGAAUGAAUCUUAUUAAAAUUAAAACCAAAUUGAUCAAACUCAGAAUUGAUGAAAAUUAUUUCAAAUCUUAUUGAAAUCGAACCACAUUGAUUUUGACCGGUUAAGUUCAAUUCUAGAUAAAAUUGCAAAUUUUCACUUCAUUUUAUCAGAUUUAACCAAACCAGAUAAAUCAGAUUAAACUGAAUCGGAAUCAAUUUAAAACCAAACUGAAACCAAGAUUGAAAUCGAGGGAACCCUUCAAUUCGAUCCUAAAUCGAACUGGACUGGAUCCAUGCCUCGUUGAUGGCGAUACGUUCAGGAAAAAACGUUACAACAAAACUUAGGAGCCAAUUCAGUGUGCCAAUUCACCUUUCGUUACAAAUAAGGAGUUUAUUCAACAGCAAACAAGCGUGUUAAAUCAUCACCAUAACCACUAUCCUUUGUAUGCAUAUAGUAUCAGGAUAAAUUUCUAAAUUAAACUCUUAAAAAAGGAGGAUAGUAUGAGAAAACAUUGAGAUGAGCAAAUGAGCAAAUUACCAUAUUGAAGUGAUGAGAUCUGUCUAAUUUGAUAUUUGAUGAUCCAAACAUGAUUCAAAGAAACUAAAAAGCAUGAUUACCUGCAAUUGUUAUGUCAAUCAGCCUUUAUUUUGGCCAGCAAGAGCAUGAGAUUAUGAGAUAGGCAAACUAUUCCUAAACCAACUGUAGUCAAAUCUAGAAAACUAAUCAAUGCUUAAGUUUUCAAGCUCACAAAAAUUCCCACAACACAUUCACAUGCAUUCUCAUCGUUUGCUACCUAAAUCCAAUAGAAG